rnacentral:rRNA from 1 species
UCAACCUGGUUGAUCCUGCCAGUGAUCAUAUUCUUAGAUCAAAGAUUAAGCCAUGCAUGUCCAAGACUAAACAAGUUGUCAGUGAAUCUGCGUAUGGCUCAUUACAAGAAUCAUCAUUUACCCGAGCACCAACUUACAAUUGGAUAACCGUUGUAAUUCAAGGGCUAAUCAUGCACCACAGAUAUGCGCGUUUA